rnacentral:lncRNA from 1 species
CGCGCCACUGCACUCCAGCCUGGGCGACAGAGCAAGACUCCGUCUCAAAAAAAAAAAAAAAGUAAAAACGAAAAUUUUUAAAUAAUAAAAGAAGAAAGGCUUCUGGCCAUUGGCUCCUUAACAGAGACCAAUCUUUUCCCCUGUCCAGUUCAAUCACAAAGAAACUUCGAACAAGUUUCCCUGCUUCCUCACGCUCUGGCUAAGAGAAGAGCAGGUGGAGAAGUGGUUUUAAUGGAGAUCAUAGUGGUUUAUGAGAACACUAAGUAAGAAAAGCACAUGCUUUGGGCCCUAGCAUGUGUUGCGGCUUGGCUCCCUCACUUGUACUCCCUGGCCCUGGACUUCACGUGAGCCUCAUUGCUUCCAGUUACAUAGGUAAACAGCCGGGGAUGCUAUUGCUGGCAAAGCUCACGGCCAGAGCUUGGUACACAUACAAUAAUCAUAUUUGCCCCUCCUGACUUUCUGCUUAGUUUGAGACAGCCACUUCAAAAGCUGGUUGGAAACUGGUUCUGGCAGGAGUCCCUCUGACUCAUUUGGUAUAGGUCAGUUUUGCCAGAAGGUUCAUAACCUUGUUAGACGCAGUGGCUCAUAUCCCAGCACUUUGGGAGGCUGAGGUGGGCAGAUCUCCUGAGGUCAGGAGUUUGAGACCAGCCUGGCCAACAUGGUAAAACCCCCACUUCUAAAAAUAAAAAAAUAAGCCAGGUGUAGUGGCACACACCUGUAAUCUCAGCUACUCAGGAGGCUGAGGCACAAGAAUCACUUGAAUCUGGGAGGCAGAGGAUGGAGCUGCUGAGAUCGCACCACUGCACCCCAGCCUGGGCAACAGUGAGACCCCAUCGCAAAAAAAAGGCAGAAAUUGAUUCCUAGGUACCUUCCUAAAGCAGCCACCCAUCUGAGGCUUGCUUGAUUGGAUCUGCGUGGGUUUUUUCUGUGUGCCUCUGUCCUCUAGUGGCCAGAUGUGGAAUUUCCAAAAACCAGAGCACUGCCCAGUACCACCCAGCCUUGGUCACAACUAUCUGGGUUAACUGGAAUCUGUAGCCUGGAAUCUGCUGGAAGUGCUGUGGGUGUUUCUCUAGUUUUGAAAUAAUUCCUUUUGUCCCUGCACUUUAAAAGCCAUUUGCAGCAUAACACAGUACAUAUCCUUUUAAGCAAUGACAAGGGUACUUUUUUACAAUACUGAAAUAAAAGACUGUCCUAGUUUCACCUUGGGCACUUAAAAGGUGAGAGUCACCAGGCGUGGUGGCUGACGUCUGUAAUCCCAACACUUUGGGAGGCUGAGGUGGGUGGAUGGAUCACCUGAGGUCAGGAGCUCAAGACCAGCCUGGCCAACAUGGUAAAACCUCGUCUCUACUAAAAAUACCAAAAUUAGCCAGGCGUGGUGGUGCACACCAGUAAUCCCAGCUACUUGGGAGGCUGAGGCAGGAGAAGCACUUGAACCCAGGAGGCGGAGGUUGCAGUGAGCUGAGAUCCCACCACUGCACUCCAGCCUGGGUGACAGAGCCGAGACUCAGUCUCAAAAAAAAAAAAAAAAAAA